AUUGAACGCUGGCGGCAUGCCUUACACAUGCAAGUCGAACGGCAGCACGGGAUUCAGGCAACUGAGCCCUGGUGGCGAGCGGCGAACGGGUGAGUAACACGUGGGUGACCUGCCCUCAGCUCUGGGAUAAGCCUGGGAAACUGGGUCUAAUACUGGAUAUGACUCCACGGUGCAUGUCGUGGGGUGGAAAGCCUUGUGCGGCUGAGGANGGGCCCGCGGCCUAUCAGCUUGUUGGUGGGGUGAUGGCCUACCAAGGCGACGACGGGUAGCCGGCCUGAGAGGGCGACCGGCCACACUGGGACUGAGACACGGCCCAGACUCCUACGGGAGGCAGCAGUGGGGAAUCUUGCGCAAUGGGCGAAAGCCUGACGCAGCGACGCCGCGUGAGGGAUGACGGCC
rnacentral:rRNA from 1 species